UAUUUUAUACAUGUUAUCUUUCCUGGUAAUUAUGAUAUGCAAAGGCAGUAACACUUUCACUUCCCAUCUUUGUGGAUGAGUGCUUAGCUACUUAAAACAUUGGUGCAAUUAAUCUUUAUGAGCUUCAGCCAAGUCCUGCGCUUCAUUGUCCAAAUUUUAACCUUCCACUCAAUCCAGACUAAUGACACAUUGCAUACACAAUUAUAUAUUAAUUUAAUCAGAAAGCAGCUGACAGGAUGUUUAUCUUGCCAGAAUCCAUGCAUUUAUCACUGAGAAGGGCAACUUAGCUGAUAUGUUACAUUAAAUUGUCCAGGCUGUAGGUAGCUUCAGAAAUACUGCAAUUAAAAGCAACUUAUUUUAUAUAUUUACGUCCUCUUGAAUAUUAUAUUUGGUAUCAGCACAGUCAUAGUAAUAAGUUUGUCAUCUACCUUUCCUGCAGUACUAUUUUUUACUCUGCUGCUAUUUCGUAGGGAACUCUCAGUAAUGGGACACAAGUUGCUGUGAAGACACUUUCUGCUGAGUCACGACAGGGAGAGCGGGAGUUUUUAACUGAAAUUGAUACUAUAUCCAAUGUUAAACAUCCAAACCUUGUUGAAUUAAUUGGAUGCUGUAUUCAUGAAAGUAACCGAAUUUUGGUGUAUGAAUAUUUAGAAAAUAACAGCCUAGAUCGUGCAUUAUUAGGUUUGAGGAGGACAACAAGUUUGGACUGGAG